GACGGUAUAGCUCAGUGGUAGAGUGCAUGCCUAGCAUGCACAAGGUCCUGGGUUCAAUCCCCAGUACCUCCA
rnacentral:tRNA from 1 species